UACGUAGGGUGCAAGCGUUGUCCGGAAUUAUUGGGCGUAAAGAGCUCGUAGGCGGUUUGUCGCGUCUGCUGUGAAAACUCAGGGCUUAACUCUGAGCUUGCAGUGGGUACGGGCAGACUAGAGUGUGGUAGGGGAGACUGGAAUUCCUGGUGUAGCGGUGAAAUGCGCAGAUAUCAGGAGGAACACCGGUGGCGAAGGCGCCACUCUGGGCCGGUACUGACGCUGAGGAGCGAAAGCGUGGGUAGCAAACAGG
rnacentral:rRNA from 1 species